CUUGCUAAGUUUGAUGGCGACCGGCGCACGGGUGAGUAACACGUAUCCAACCUGCCGAUGACUCGGGGAUAGCCUUUCGAAAGAAAGAUUAAUACCCGAUGGCAUAGUUCUUCCGCAUGGUAGAACUAUUAAAGAAUUUCGGUCAUCGAUGGGGAUGCGUUCCAUUAGGUUGUUGGCGGGGUAACGGCCCACCAAGCCUUCGAUGGAUAGGGGUUCUGAGAGGAAGGUCCCCCACAUUGGAACUGAGACACGGUCCAAACUCCUACGGGAGGCAGUAUG
rnacentral:rRNA from 1 species